GGCAUCCGUGUUUAUAUCAGCAGCGGCUUAUCCAGUGUGUGCCUUCGGCGCCUAGUCGUCGUCGUCUUCCUCGUCAUUCUCGUCAUCCUCGCAGAGGUCGCUGUCGUGAAGGGGCACCACGACACCACAUACGUCGUGAAACUGCUCGAGACAGUACAGGGGUACAAGGUCCUCCACUUCUUUCGACACCCAUAGUGUGCA
rnacentral:lncRNA from 1 species